CAGGCGCGAGCUAUACAUGCAAGUCGAGCGAACAGACGAGGAGCUUGCUCCUUUGACGUUAGCGGCGGACGGGUGAGUAACACGUGGGUAACCUACCUAUAAGACUGGGAUAACUUCGGGAAACCGGAGCUAAUACCGGAUAAUAUUUCGAACCGCAUGGUUCGAUAGUGAAAGAUGGCUCUGCUAUCACUUAUAGAUGGACCUGCGCCGUAUUAGCUAGUUGGUAAGGUAACGGCUUACCAAGGCAACGAUACGUAGCCGACCUGAGAGGGUGAUCGGCCACACUGGAACUGAGACACGGUCCAGACUCCUACGGGAGGCAGCAGUAGGGAAUCUUCCGCAAUGGGCGAAAGCCUGACGGAGCAACGCCGCGUGAGUGAUGAAGGUCUUCGGAUCGUAAAACUCUGUUAUUAGGGAAGAACAAACGUGUAAGUAACUGUGCACGUCUUGACGGUACCUAAUCAGAAAGCCACGGCUAACUACGUGCCAGCAGCCGCGGUAAUACGUAGGUGGCAAGCGUUAUCCGGAAUUAUUGGGCGUAAAGCGCGCGUAGGCGGUUUUUUAAGUCUGAUGUGAAAGCCCACGGCUCAACCGUGGAGGGUCAUUGGAAAC
rnacentral:rRNA from 1 species